GUGUGCCCACUCGACUCCCGUGCCACCAAAAGCUUCCCCACUUGCCUGAUCCGCCUCUCUCAUGCAUCUCCCUCCUUGCCUCUGCCUCCCCCCUUCCCCCUGGCCUCCGCCUCUCUCGCGCGUUCCGCCUUUGCUCCCCCUCUCUCACACCUCCGCGUUCUUUGCUUUUUUUGAUCGAAUGGAUUCUCCGUGGAGACAAUGGGCGCAGAUGGCUUAGUUUCCAUGGCUUAUUUGGGAACGGUGGAGUUUACAGUCACUUCCUCGGUUAGUAGAGAUAUUCUAUCCGUGGGCCACCGCCACACCGCUGACUUCAAACCGUCGGUCUUCGCCGCUGCUCCGACGCUACUCUGCACCAAGUCCCGAUCCUCCGUCCGACGGUCGACGCCGCGCCGCUACUCUAUCCUCUAAGGCUGAUCCGGUGGUUCCUCACCUCUCUGGUGCAACAGCCCACCAGGACACCACCUGGCCUCAGUCUUCCAUCCGACGGCCGACGGCAUGCCGCUGACCUUCGAAACGUUGGCCUCUAUGGUUGAUCUGGUGAUUCCUCGCUUCAUCUUGUUUGACGAAGUGAUAUUUCCAUUUCUCUCCUAUUCUCAGGCGAUAGACGAGUUGGGUGAGAGCUCGAGCUCGGCUCGAUUUACGCUUGAAGACUGAUGAAGCCAAGGUGUUUUGGGUGGCUUGAGGUUUUGGGCUCAAUUCAUACUAACAUUUUCCAUUCUUGAAGUGAUGCUUAAGAAUGGUUCUAGGGUUGAAACGUAUCACUACCAGGCGCAGCUCCAGGCUUUCACAAUCCACCAGACCUACCCCAAUAGUGGAGCCAUCUAACUCACCUGGUGAUGAUUAUAUAUAAUUUCUUAGUCGGCCCACUUCUACAGCUCCAAAUGAGCCACCUAGUCAGCCCACUUCUACAGCUCCAAAUGAGCCACCUAGUUGGCCCACUUCUACAGCUCCAAGUCCUUAAAAUAUUUAGCCCGAUGAUACAGCUCCGAAUGACCCAAGUGCACAAGGUGAUGUAGUUAUCUUUUAACUAAGUUGACAAAAAUUAUUUUCAUUUGUUAUAUUUUCAAAUGUUUGUAGAUUCUACAGCAAAGAGGAAGGGUCGUGGUCCUCCUUGUGGUAUUGGGCUGAGCAAAAUGAAAAAGGCACUCGGUAGGAAGCUGACAAUAACGAUUGAUGUAGAUCAAGAGAGACCUAUUGAUCGAGUGCAAUCAGCUAAAUUCUCUAGUGAAGUGGGUUUUCUUGCUCAUGAAUGUAUGCAUGUGCUAAAAAGAUUUAAGGAUUUAAAUGAAGAUGAUUUAAAUCCUGCAUUUGAUAGGUUGUGGGUAAGACCUUUCUUAUGCAUUUUCAUAAAAAGUUAUAAAAUUGUGAAGACAUUGGACUAUUUUCAGGUUGCCAUGUAGGAGCCAAUGGCUUUACAAGUUGUUCAUUUCUUAUAGAUGAAGGUUACUGCAUGCACAUAGAAUGAUAGUGCUUCUAACUACAAUUUUUUUUUAAUGUAAUUUUCAGAGUAAAUUGGAAAUUCAAAAUUUGAGAGAGGAUGCUGAAGUAUCAAAAUGUGUACUUCAAAGGUUACAAGCAUGUGGGAAGGACAUGCGAUUAAGAUUAGGAAGGCAUUAUUUGUAAUUUAGCUCAGAUGCAGAAGCAAGGCGAAAUAAGCCUGCCAAUGUUUCUCAAGAAAAUUGGGAUGACCUAUGUGAUUAUUGGUCUAAUCCUUGUACACAGGAACGAUGUUCAAUCAAUGCUGCAAAUCGAGCAAAGGCAAAGAUGUCACAUAAAACAGGAUCUAUGUCAUUUGUGGCAAUGCGGCAUGAAAU